rnacentral:tRNA from 5 species
GCCCGGGUGGUGGAAUUGGUAGACACAAGGGACUUAAAAUCCCUCGGAAAUUAUUUCCGUACCGGUUCAAGUCCGGUCUCGGGCACCA